AGUACGAUCAGUCGUUGAACGGUCACUUUAUAGCAACACUUUUGUUAUCUUUGAUUAGACUUGAAAUUUUGGUAUUAAAAAAUGGUCAAGCAAAAUAAUCGAUUAACAACAAUGUAGGAAUGAAUUGAGGUGCAUUUUGGUGUUAUAAGAAUUAUGUAAUCGUUUUGUUUAAAAAAUGUUCGUGAGAAAAUUCUGUCACUGAGUUUCAUCGUAAAUUUACUGUUCACUUGUUCAUGGCGUAUUGUGGAAGAUUACAGGUGACGGAAGAUAUGUAUAGUUAAAUUCUCCAUGACUAUGUCACCACACUGUCCAUUCCACGUUAUAAUCUGGGGAGUUUUUUUAUGUAUCUUAACAAAAGAGUCGCAACCUGUAAGCUGGGAAGAGUGGUGGACCUACGAUGGAAUAUCUGGUCCAGGUUUUUGGGGUUUAAUAAAUCCCGAAUGGUCUCUAUGCCACAAAGGUCGUCGACAAUCACCAGUUAAUUUAGAACCUGAACGACUCCUCUUCGAUCGUAAUCUGCAACUGCUCCACAUUGAUAAGCAUGGAAUUCGAGGUUCUCUAAGUAAUACUGGGCAUGGAGUUGUAUUUUCAGUCGACAAUGGCACUCAACAUCCUGUUAAUAUAUCUGGCGGGCCACUUAGCUACCGAUAUCAGUUUUGUGAAAUUCACUUACAUUAUGGUCUUAAUGAUCAAAGAGGAAGUGAACACACAGUUGAUAACUACGCAUUUCCUGCUGAAAUCCAAAUUUUCGGAUUCAAUUCUGAACUGUAUAACAAUUAUUCGGAUGCACUCCAUAGACCUCAAGGAACUGUUGCCAUAUCGUUGUUAUUACAAGUUGGCGAUCUUUCGAAUCCUGAACUGAGAAAAUUUACCGAUAAAUUGAAUGAUGUAAAAUACAGAGGUGAGAUGACAGAAAUACCUCGCUUUGUUGUACGCGAGUUACUACCAGAUACGAAAUAUUACAUGACGUAUGAAGGUUCUAUAACGAUGCCUGCAUGCCAUGAAACAACAACGUGGAUCAUACUCAAUAAACCGAUUUAUAUAACAAAACAACAGCUGAUAGCAUUACGGAAUCUUAUGCAAGGCGAUAGAAAACGUUCGAUAGCACCGCUAGGGAAUAAUUAUCGACCUCCACAGUUGUUGCAUCAUCGGCCUGUACGAACAAACAUUGACAUAAAUACCCAGGGAACCAAAAACUGUCCAACAAUGCAUCGAGACAUAUCUUAUAAAGUUGGCAGUACCAAAUUUUAUGAUAAAUGAACGCAUUUAUUACUUGCAAGGAUUAAAACAUCAUUUUUGAUGAUGAAGCUAAAUAAAAUUCAUUUAAUUGAUAUGGAUUAUUAUGGAUAUUUCAAAUGAUUUACUACAUAGAGAGAUUAAGAAUACGCUUGAUAAAAAUAUGGCAGCACUUAUUUUACAGAAAGAAACUCAUCGCCGUCAAAUGGAAACAUAUAGGAAUAUUCGAAACGAUAAGAUUACGGAAGUAGGAGAUGAAAUAAGUUUAGAUGAAGAUAAAGGUGGGCCAGCACGAAUACAAAAUGAUUAUGAGAAAGUAAUUCCUUAAUAUUCCAAUGAAGAAUUCUAUUCUCAUUUCCGAAUGUGGUGGGAAGUGUUUAAGAAACUGGUUGAUACUAUUGAGGCAUAUCCACCAUGGGAGAAUGCUAGGAUGCCUUUGAAAAAAGAAAUUAACAUUACCAUAUGGAUUCUUGUAACGCCAAACAGCAUUAGAUCAGUUGAUAAUCGAUUUGAUGUUGCUGAAAGCAACGCACAUUUGGUCAUGAUGGAAAACUCAGUAAUUUUACGUCAUCUAUUACCAGUGUAUGAAAAAUGGCCAGAUCCAAAUAAGUUAGAUGAUAACGAGGCAGCGUUUAGACAGCGGUCAGAAUUUCCAUAAGUUGUUGGUGCGAUUGACAGGUGUCUUAAAAAAAUAAAGCAACCUCCUGGUAAUGCUAACGAUUAUAAUAACCAGAAAAGCUUUUAUUCCAUCGUUUUACAAAGAAAAUGCAUAAUUUUGGGUUUCAUUAUAAAUUUUGAUGGUGAACUCUUACAGGAUUAUGUGACCACCGCAGAAAGUAUAUUUAUUUACUGACAUUUAGACCCGGACAAGUACAUGAUGCUGGCAUUUUUUGCGGUUCAAGCUUAAUUAACGAUUGAUAGACAACAAUAAUCCGUUAUUACCACCUCAUCAUCACUUUCUAGGAGAUUGUGGGUAUUCGAAAUCAAUAAAUGUUUUAACUCCAUUUAGAGAUAAUGGGUUUCUAUUAGCAGAACAGACGAGAUAUAAUAUGAAACAUGUGUCAACACGUUCUGUGAUAGAAAGAGCAUUCUGUUUUUUCACAAGUGAAUUCAGAAGACUUUUUGAUUUCGAUGGACAAUCUAUAGAAAUGACUAAUGUG